rnacentral:rRNA from 1 species
UGGCUUUUGUUCUUAUUUGUUAGAUAUUAGUAGGUAUACUUUUUAUUGUUUAGUGGGGUUCUGUUUAAAUAUUUUUAAAAAUCCUUUGGUUUUGGGGAACUAGGAAUAUACGUGUCUUUCUUAUACAUGCUAGUGGAUGACGGUUAAAGAGGGGACAAAACGUGCGAACAGGUGAGGAAACCCGAGAGCUAAGUUUUGGGGCGGGGCUGGAGUCGUAUUAGGUCGAAGGUGGUAUAAAAGACCACCUUGCCCAGGAUGCGUGGCUUUAAACUGGAAGCCAUCUUUUCACUGAAGCAAAGGGAGGGCUCAAAAAGGGGGCGGAAAGCUCCUGAGGCAGCAGUAUAUAACUUUAUGCAAUGUACGAAAGUGCGACAUAGAAGGGGCGUAUUACUUAAUCUGUCUAAUUAAGUGCCAGCAGACGCGGUGAAACUUAAGGAUUAGUAUUAUAGGAAAAAGCGUAAAGGGUGUGAGGGGCUUAUCCCGACAAGAGGGUAAAUGGAAUUUUUCUGUAGGGGUAGAAUGUGAAGAUAGAAAAAAGAACUCUAAACGCGAAGGCAAUUUAUCUCAUGGGAGGUACGCCAACUGCUCCGUUGUUACACGAAAAUAUGGGGAGCAAACAGGAUUAGAGACCCUGGUAUAUUGUAAAUAAUGAAGAAGAUGUGAGGCAAUCCUAAAAGGCAAUAAAUUUUUCGCUUGAGUAGUAUGAUCGCAAGAUUUAAAUUCAAAAAACUUGGCUGUUCACUGCUAUAAUCAGAGGAGCGUGUCGUUUAAUUCGAUAGUCCGCGAGAAACCUUACCCAAACUUGAAUUCGCCCAUUUAACAGGUAUUGCAUGGCCGUCGUCAAUUUGUGUAUUAAAUGUAAAACGGAUUCAACCCAGUGGUUGGCACCCCAUCGUCUUCGGAGCGUUGUCAUUAUUGGAUGAAGUCAGGUCUUAUUGUCCUAAUGUUUGGGGAUUAGAUGCGCUACAUUUUCUUAUACAAUGGGAGAUUUUGAAGGUGGAACCCUAAAGUAAGAGUUCGGGAGGUGGCUGGAAGAUAGCUGAAAGUUGUAUUUGAUAGUAAUUAGAAAGUAGAGCGUUCUGGUGAAAUUGACGCAGUAUUAGUACAAAUAGCCCGUCGUCUUGGUCAAGAAGGGUUACUCAAAUGCCCCCUGUUGUUGGGGUGUAGUGUUACUUUGAGAUGGAGUAAGUCGUAACAUAGUAAGGGUGGGGGAACUGGCUCUUG